CCUACCUUCAACUGGGGGAUAGCCCGAAGAAAUUCGGAUUAAUACCCCAUAAUAAUAGAAAUUCGCAUGUUUUUCUAUUUAAAACUCCGGUGGUUGAAGAUGGGCAUGCGUCCUAUUAGUUAGUUGGUGAGGUAACGGCUCACCAAGACUCCGAUAGGUAGGGGUUCUGAGAGGAAGAUCCCCCACACUGGUACUGAGACACGGACCAGACUCCUACGGGAGGCAGCAGUGAGGAAUAUUGGACAAUGGACGAAAGUCUGAUCCAGCCAUGCCGCGUGUAGGAAGACCGCCCUCUGGGUUGUAAACUACUUUUAUAAGGGAAUAAACCCCCGUACGUGUACGGGGCUGAAUGUACCUUAAGAAUAAGCACCGGCUAACUCCGUGCCAGCAGCCGCGGUAAUACGGAGGGUGCAAGCGUUAUCCGGAUUUAUUGGGUUUAAAGGGUCCGUAGGUGGAAUUGUAAGUCAGUGGUGAAAUCUUUCGGCUUAACCGGAAAACUGCCAUUGAUACUGCAGUUCUUGAGUAUGCUCGAGGUAGGCGGAAUAUGUCAUGUAGCGGUGAAAUGCAUAGAUAUGACAUAGAACACCAAUAGCGAAGGCAGCUUACCAGAUCAUAACUGACACUGAGGGACGUAAGCGUGGGGAGCGAACAGGAUUAGAUACCCUGGUAGUCCACGCCGUAAACGAUGAUCACUAGACAUUGGCGACAUACUGUCGGUGUCAAAGCGAAAGUAUUAAGUGAUCCACCUAGGGAGUACGCCGGCAACGGUGAUAACUCAAAGGAAUUGACGGGGGCCCGCACAAGCGGUGGAGCAUGUGGUUUAAUUCGAUGAUACGCGAGGAACACUUACCUGGGCUUAAAUGCAGAACGACCGAUCCGGAAACGGAUCUUUCUUCGGACGGACUGCAAGGUGCUGCAUGGUUGUCGUCAGCUCGUGCCGUGAGGUGUCGGGUUAAGUCCCAUAACGAGCGCAACCCCUAUCGUUAGUUGCCAGCGGAUAAUGCCGGGGACUCUAACGAAACUGCCCGUGCAAGCGGAGAGGAAGGUGGGGAUGACGUCAAAUCAUCACGGCCAUUACGUCCAGGGCUACACACGUGCUACAAUGGCGCAUACAAAGGGCAGCUACCACGCGAGUGGAUGCUAAUCUCUAAAGUGCGUCUCAGUUCGGAUUGAAGUCUGCAACUCGACUUCAUGAAGCUGGAAUCGCUAGUAAUCGCGCAUCAGCCAUGG
rnacentral:rRNA from 1 species